rnacentral:rRNA from 1 species
UGAACGCUGGCGGUAUGCUUAACACAUGCAAGUCGUACGAAGACCUUCGGUCUUAGUGGCGGACGGGUGAGUAACACGUGAGAAUCUGCCCUUAGGAAGAGAAUAACAAUUGGAAACGGUUGCUAAUACUCUAUAUGCCGAGAGGUAAAAGGAUCUAUCCACCUUAGGAAGAGCUCGCGUCUGAUUAGCUAGUUGGUAAGGUAAUGGCUUACCAAGGCGACGAUCAGUAGCUGGUCUGAGAGGAUGAUCAGCCACACUGGGACUGAGACACGGCCCAGACUCCUACGGGAGGCAGCAGUGGGGGAAUAUUGGACAAUGGGGGCAACCCUGAUCCAGCUAUGCCGCGUGCAGGAAGAAGGUCCUAUGGAUUGUAAACUGCUUUUAUUUGGGAAUAAACCUCUGGUCGUGCACCGGAGCUGAAGGUACCAAAUGAAUAAGCACCGGCUAACUCCGUGCCAGCAG